GACGAACGCUGGCGGCGUGCUUAACACAUGCAAGUCGAACGGAAAGGCCCUGCUUUUGUGGGGUGCUCGAGUGGCGAACGGGUGAGUAACACGUGAGUAACCUGCCCUUGACUUUGGGAUAACUUCAGGAAACUGGGGCUAAUACCGGAUAGGAGCUCCUGCUGCAUGGUGGGGGUUGGAAAGAUUCGGCGGUUGGGGAUGGACUCGCGGCUUAUCAGCUUGUUGGUGGGGUAGUGGCUUACCAAGGCUUUGACGGGUAGCCGGCCUGAGAGGGUGACCGGCCACAUUGGGACUGAGAUACGGCCCAGACUCCUACGGGAGGCAGCAGUGGGGAAUAUUGCACAAUGGGCGGAAGCCUGAUGCAGCAGCGCCGCGUGCGGGAUGACGGCCUUCGGGUUGUAAACCGCUUUCGCCUGUGACGAAGCGUGAGUGACGGUAAUGGGUAAAGAAGCACCGGCUAACUACGUG
rnacentral:rRNA from 1 species